UUUUAACAAAAACUAAUAAAAGAAACAGAGAUCUAGGUAAGGGGGUUGGUUAUGCAAUGGGAAGGUGUUAGGCACCCAAAACAUCCUAGGUACUCCUAGGGAGCCCUUCUCACACUUGUGAAGGUUGUUGUCUUGUGAAAAUUUUUAUUUGUGCAAACAUGAUUGAAGAGAUGAGAAGAGAAUAUACAAGUUAUUUACAUUUUUGUGUUUGGAUGGAGAAAC
rnacentral:lncRNA from 1 species